rnacentral:rRNA from 1 species
UACGAAGGGGGCUAGCGUUGCUCGGAAUCACUGGGCGUAAAGCGCACGUAGGCGGAUCGUUAAGUCAGGGGUGAAAUCCUGGAGCUCAACUCCAGAACUGCCUUUGAUACUGGCGACCUUGAGUUCGGGAGAGGUGAGUGGAACUGCGAGUGUAGAGGUGAAAUUCGUAGAUAUUCGCAAGAACACCAGUGGCGAAGGCGGCGCACUGGCCCGAUACUGACGCUGAGGUGCGAAAGCGUGGGGAGCAAACAGG